rnacentral:rRNA from 1 species
GACUACAGGGGUAUCUAAGCCCGUUUGCUACCCACGCUUUCGCGCCUCAGCGUCAGAUAUAAGCCAGGAUGCCGCCUUCGCCGCCGGUGUUCCUCCUGAUAUCAAUGCAUUUCACCGCUACACCAGGAAUUCCGCAUCCCCCUCCCAAUCUCAAGACCACCAGUUUGCGCGGCGGGACAGAGGUUGAGCCUCUGCAUUUCACCACACACUUAAUGGACCGCCUACGCGCGCUUUACGCCCAGUCAAUCCGAGCAACGCUCGCCCCCUACGUAUUACCGCGGCUGCUGGCACGUAGUUAGCCGGGGCUUAUUCGCGGGGUACCGUCAUUGUGUUCGCCCCCCGCAAAAGUGGUUUACAUACCGAAAUACUUCAUCCCACACGCGACGUCGCUGCAUCAGGGUUUCCCCCAUUGUGCAAGACUCCCCACUGCAGCCGCCCGUAGG